CCUACGGGUGGCAGCAGUGGGGAAUAUUGCACAAUGGGGGAAACCCUGAUGCAGCAACGCCGCGUGAGGGAAGAAGGAUUUCGGGAUGUAAAGCUCUAUCAGCAGGGAAGAAGAAAGACGGUACCUGACGAAGAAGCCCCGGCUAACUACGUGCCAGCAGCCGCGGUAAUACGUAGGGGGCAAGCGUUAUCCGGAUUUACUGGGUGGAAAGGGAGCGUAGACGGCUGUGCAAGUCUGAAGUGAAAGCCCGGGGCUCAACCGCGGAACUGCUUUGGAAACUGUAUAGCUUGAGUACUGGAGAGGCAGGCGGAAUUCCUAGUGUAGCGGUGAAAUGCGUAGAUAUUAGGAGGAACACCAGUGGCGAAGGCGGCCUGCUGGACAGAAACUGACGUUGAGGCUCGAAAGCGUGGGGAGCAAACAGGAUUAGAUACCCGAGUAGUC
rnacentral:rRNA from 1 species